rnacentral:sRNA from 1 species
UGGUCGAUGAGCACAUCCGCAGGCGGCGGA